UGUCUGGGAAACUGCCUGAUGGAGGGGGAUAACUACUGGAAACGGUAGCUAAUACCGCAUAACGUCGCAAGACCAAAGAGGGGGACCUUCGGGCCUCUUGCCAUCGGAUGUGCCCAGAUGGGAUUAGCUUGUUGGUGGGGUAACGGCUCACCAAGGCGACGAUCCCUAGCUGGUCUGAGAGGAUGACCAGCCACACUGGAACUGAGACACGGUCCAGACUCCUACGGGAGGCAGCAGUGGGGAAUAUUGCACAAUGGGCGCAAGCCUGAUGCAGCCAUGCCGCGUGUAUGAAGAAGGCCUUCGGGUUGUAAAGUACUU
rnacentral:rRNA from 1 species